rnacentral:rRNA from 1 species
GAUGAACGCUGGCGGCGUGCCUAAUACAUGCAAGUCGAGCGAACAGACGAGGAGCUUGCUCCUCUGACGUUAGCGGCGGACGGGUGAGUAACACGUGGAUAACCUACCUAUAAGACUGGGAUAACUUCGGGAAACCGGAGCUAAUACCGGAUAACAUGUUGAACCGCAUGGUUCAACAGUGAAAGACGGUCUUGCUGUCACCUAUAGAUGGAUCCGCGCCGCAUUAGCUAGUUGGUAAGGUAACGGCUUACCAAGGCAACGAUGCGUAGCCGACCUGAGAGGGUGAUCGGCCACACUGGAACUGAGACACGGUCCAGACUCCUACGGGAGGCAGCAGUAGGGAAUCUUCCGCAAUGGGCGAAAGCCUGACGGAGCAACGCCGCGUGAGUGAAGAAGGUCUUCGGAUCGUAAAACUCUGUUAUUAGGGAAGAACAAAUGUGUAAGUAACUAUGCACGUCUUGACGGUACCUAAUCAGAAAGCCACGGCUAACUACGUG